GACGAACGCUGGCGGCGUGCUUAACACAUGCAAGUCGAACGCUGAAGCUCAGCUUUUGUUGGGUGGAUGAGUGGCGAACGGGUGAGUAACACGUGAGUAACCUGCCCCCUUCUUUGGGAUAACGCCCGGAAACGGGUGCUAAUACUGGAUAUUCACUGGUCUUCGCAUGGGGGUUGGUGGAAAUGGUUUUUCUGGUGGGGGAUGGGCUCGCGGCCUAUUUGCUUGGUGGUGGGGUGAUGGCCUACCAAGGCUUUGCCGGGUAGCCGGCAUGAAGGGGCGCCCUGUCACUUUGAGACGGACAUACGGCCUAGACUCGUACGGAGGGCGGAAGUGGGGAAUAUUGGCGAAUGGGUGCAAGCGUGAUGCAGCGAUGCUGCGUGAGGGAUGGGGGUCUUCGGGUUGUGAUCCUCUUUCGCAAAUGGUCAAGCCGAAACAAUGGUUGUGGUGAGGGUAGUGGGUAAAGAAGCGCCGGCUAACUACGUG
rnacentral:rRNA from 1 species